rnacentral:rRNA from 1 species
CCUACGGGCGGCAGCAGUGGGGAAUAUUGGACAAUGGGCGAAAGCCUGAUCCAGCAAUGCCGCGUGAGUGAUGAAGGCCUUAGGGUUGUAAAGCUCUUUUACCAGGGAUGAUAAUGACAGUACCUGGAGAAUAAGCUCCGGCUAACUCCGUGCCAGCAGCCGCGGUAAUACGGAGGGAGCUAGCGUUGUUCGGAAUUACUGGGCGUAAAGCGCACGUAGGCGGCUACUCAAGUCAGAGGUGAAAGCCCGGGGCUCAACCCCGGAACUGCCUUUGAAACUAGGUAGCUAGAAUCUUGGAGAGGUCAGUGGAAUUCCGAGUGUAGAGGUGAAAUUCGUAGAUAUUCGGAAGAACACCAGUGGCGAAGGCGACUGACUGGACAAGUAUUGACGCUGAGGUGCGAAAGCGUGGGGAGCAAAC